rnacentral:rRNA from 1 species
UACGUAAGGGGCAAGCGUUGUCCGGAUUCACUGGGCGUAAAGGGUGCGUAGGCGGUCGGGUAAGUCUGACGUGAAAUCUUCAAGCUCAACUUGGAAACUGCGUCGGAUACUAUUCGGCUAGAGGAAUGGAGGGGAGACUGGAAUACUUGGUGUAGCAGUGAAAUGCGUAGAUAUCAAGUGGAACACCAGUGGCGAAGGCGAGUCUCUGGACAUUUCCUGACGCUGAGGCACGAAAGCCAGGGGAGCAAACGGG